CAAUGCUACUGUAAAAAUGACAAGGUAAACCGUCACACCUCCACACGGACCGUUUGGUUACGUUAUUUUGCCAUUCUUUCAUUUCCUCGCGGAACGAUUACAUCUGUAGUGUCAUUAUGUUGCGGGAUGUGACAAGGACGGCGCGCCGUCCCCUCUCGCGCCUCGCAACAAAGCGAGCGCUGGAAUGUGUUGUGCGCGCGACGCGCGGAGCGGAGAAGAAUGCCUCCGGUACUCCCACUUCCCGGAGAUCCAAUCCGAGACGACCAGCGGUUUCAAGGCACCCUUACAGUCCCCCGAAACUGCAAAACAAUGCCUCGGAGAGCCUAAAUACACAUUAUUUCUCAUCAGUUCUACCCAGCCUCCUAUAAUUUUACCAAAUCUCUUGACGUAGCGAGUUAUUUUCAUAUUUCCGUGUUCCGAAACAUUUGAACGCCGGGGUUGUUUAUCUGUAGUAAGGGGAACUUGAAACCGUCCCUGCCCCAUUUCCUCGGUUGUUUUGCUUCUUUCGCCUGGAUUCUCCAUGUUGGAGCAACAGUGAAGCGCUCGCAGGGACCGCACGAACACCAGCGCGGAAGCAAAUCGAAAGUGGCACAUAAGCGAGCAAGAUAGCUAGCCAGCUAACGGAGAAAAAUCGAAACCCAGCGCCCCUCCCACAUGGAAGAGAACGGAAGGCCAGGUCAACAAGUGUUCACCUAAGAAGCCUUGGAGCAGGAGUAUUUUGAAGGUGCUCUUCUGUUGCAGAGCGAAGGAUGGGCUGCUGCAGCCUCAGGAAAGUGGCACGGUUGCCAAGAUCCCAGGAAGCUGUGUGUUGCCCAAGGUGACCCCUCAGAAGCAGGGUAAAAUAUGCGUGGUCAUCGAUCUGGACGAGACACUGGCGCACAGCUUCUUUAAGUCCACCAGUGAUGUUGAUGUUUAUUCUGCCCAUGGAGUUUGAGGGAGCCGCACAUCAGUGUACAGGCCCAGUUACAAACCAUCUUUACUAGCGUGGUUCUUCUGCCCUUGGCUCCUCCGCGAGUUACGAUUGGGCCACCAGGGCUUGAGGACUUGAGUCGUCUGGGUCAGCAGCUCCACAAAAUCUCAUCCGAGACAACUUCCCAGCCUCUUACACCUCUCACCCUGAGAAUGCUGUACCUGUCCCAUCCUGAUUUGGUGACCUAAAGGAUACGAUUUUCUCAAUCUGCUCCCUGUUUUUGAGGAGUUGUAAGCAAAGGAUUCAGGCUGGGGCAACUGCAGACCUCCUGAAACCCAGCCUCCCUACACACACAACCUGCAGCCACUUUAUUCACCUGCAGCUGAGUGUGAUGCCAUAAACCUGUGCAUUUAUACUGCACAUAGGGAAUAUGCACAUCACUGAAUCCAAGCAGUGUGAACUGCUUGUUUUCAGAAUGACCGGAGAAGACGAGGCAAACUGCACACGGCCUGAAUUCGUCUGCAGCUCUGGAGCAGCCCGGGAAACAACGGGUGUCUGCUGUACGCGCUGUUGCUCCACUGUGCUAACAGUACCAGAGGAAACCAGCCUAUGUUUCAUUCAUGUGCCACUGAAGUUCUAUGGGUAGGAUCCCCAGUGACACCUUCUCUGGACUGUGCAGUUUGCAAAACUGCUGGGUUUCUGAUGUACUUUAUUAUGUACUUUAAUAAAUGCUUAUUACAGGAGCACUUUAAAAGUUCUGGAAGGUUCUAGUGUAUAGCAGGAAUGCUGCAAAUACCUCAUGUCAUUUCUGAAGUUUAUGGACACGUAUACCCGCUACAGCAAAGUAACGCAGACUUGCAAUGCAGGAACUAAUGGAUACUGAGUAUCUACAUAAUUUCUGAAAGUACUGUUAAAUUAUGUGGAAGAAUCAUAAGGUUUGUCCUGAUUUGUACACUGAUUCUUAUUUUAUGAGGUUGAGAAGAAACGUUCUAGUUUCUUGAACUCUGCAGGAGAUAAACACCCAACUACAUACCCCGCGCUGUUAAAAACCGAAAUGUUAACUGCAAAAUAAUAAAAUGUUACGUGUAAGUGAAAUGUGAA